rnacentral:misc_RNA from 1 species
GAUGAAGAACGUAGCGAAAUGCGAUAAGUAAUGUGAAUUGCAGAAUUCAGUGAAUCAUCGAAUCUUUGAACGCACAUUGCGCCCCCUGGUAUUCCGGGGGGCAUGCCUGUCCGAGCGUCAUUGCUGCCCUCAAGCCCGGCUUGUGUGUUGGGUCUCGUCCCCCUUCCCGGGGGGACGGGCCCGAAAGGCAGCGGCGGCACCGCGUCCGGUCCUCGAGCGUAUGGGGCUUUGUCACCCGCUCUGUAGGCCCGGCCGGCGCUUGCCGAUCAACCAAAACUUUUUUCCAGGUUGACCUCGGAUCAGGUAGGGAUACCCGCUGAACUUAAGCAUAUCAAUAAGCGGAGGA